ACCCCUGGUAGACGACCAGGUUGAUAGGUUCGGGGUGGAAGCGCCGUAAGGCGUGCAGCUGACGAAUACUAAUCGGUCGAGGGCUUAUCCUC
rnacentral:rRNA from 1 species